rnacentral:sRNA from 1 species
CCCGGGGCUGCGCCCCGGGCCGAUGUAUGGCGCCCUUUCAGGGCU